rnacentral:lncRNA from 1 species
GUACAGCAUGAUGAUCACUGUCAACAUCUGCAAGAAAUGACACGGGAAUAUGAUGAGUCACCUAAUUUCAAAAUCCCACUUUGGUACCAGAACAGAAACUUCACCGUGCUGGAAGAGUACUCCUAUAGACCAGGCUUCGCCCCUGGCCAAUUCACGUCAUUCAGAAAAUGGUCCUUUUGAAUAUAUUCCUCCUUCACUGUGGGAGAUUAUGCUGAUAAUAAAUGUUCCCUCUCCAAUUCUUGAAUGUUCACCUCUUAUUUGCAUAGUCAAUACCAGGAUAUCAAUAACUGCUCUGAUCCACAGAACAAGAAGAAGCUAGUAAAGAAGUUCUGAUGAAGUAGCUUUAUUUACCUAGCAUUCAAGAGAGCUAAAUGCUUCAGAAGAGAGAAAGAUUCACAUAAUAUAUUUGACUAGAUUUCUGUGAAUCAGCACAGAGAACUGAUUGUUUCUCAGGAUGGUCUAAAAUAACCAAUCUAUCUGACUUGUCUCUAGUAUUAUCUAGACAGAUUCUUUCCUGAGGCAGUAAUGUCCAAGUGUGGUUUAUAGACCAGUCUGGCUAUCCAGACAGAUAUUUAUUCUCCUGGAUAAUAUAGAAGAAGACCUAUCUUCUCUAUUCAACUAAACCUCUGCACUGUUAGACUCUGUCCAAAACUCUUUAUGGCUUCAUCAGAUGGAGAUGUGAAAACACUCAGCUUUGAUCAAGCAGUUCCUCCCACUAAGGCCAUUGACAUCAAACUAAACCUCUGAAGGAGGAGCUUCUGAAAAAAGCAUGUAUCUUGUUGUGCUCUGGGCUAUAACAGCAGAUACUGUAGGUAGUUAUCAAUUUAUAUCGGUUUAGUAUUUGCAUUCUAAUAGCAUCCAAAAUAUGUCCAGCUGUGCAAUACCUCCAUGAAGUAAAGGUUGAAAGACUUAUUUCCCAUUUCAGGCAUUGGCUUAGUACCAUCAGAAUUUCCCACUAAGCCCUUGUUUCAAAGAGUUAUCUUCUGCUGUAACAGUAGAAAAUUUACUCACUAUGUAUAAAAAGCCUGUAGUAUGUUGACAAACUGUAUUAUGAAUUGCAAUUUUUUUCAAAUUAUUUUUUUAUUCUGACAGUGUGGUUAGGCUCUAUUGUUUAUGCAUUUUAAUGAAUAAAGAACUGGCAAUAAAAUUCUAUCA